rnacentral:rRNA from 1 species
GGGUGCGAUCAUACCAACAUUAAUGCACCUGAUCCCAUCAGAACUCCGCAGUUAAGCGUGCUCAGGCCAGAGUAGUACUGGGAUGGGUGACCUCCCGGGAAGUCCUGGCGUUGCACCUU